AUUUAAAUUAAUUUUCAAAACAUUUAUAUAAUUAUCCUAGUAUAGGUGAUAGAACAGAUAAAUCUUUGGCACAAUAGAGAGAGUACCGUGAGGGAACGUUGAAAGAUUCCAUCCUGUAAAGCAAUAAAAAGCAAAGAUUAAAUCUUCUACCUUUUGCAUAAUGAUUUAGCCAGUCUACACGGACAAAAAGAAUUAAAGCCCGUCUUCCCGAAAUUGAGUGAGCUAUUGUAGAACAGUUGUUAGAACGAACUCGUCUAUGUAGCAAAAUAGUGAGAUGAUUUUACAAUAGGGGUGAAAAGCCUAUCGAACUCAAUGAUAGCUGGUUGUCCAAAAAACGAAUUUUAGUUCAACUUUAAAUUUAACUUAAGUACUAAUAAACCUAACUUAAAUUUAAAUGUUAUUCAAAAGGGGGACAACCCUUUUGACAUGUAAACAAACUUAUUUAGCGGGUAAUGAUUAAUACACAAAACAUUGUAGGCCUAAAAGCAGCCACCAAUUAAGAAAGCGUUAAAGCUCAAACUAGUUUGUCAUUUAAUACCAAUAAUUUAUCAAAACCCCUAACCUAAUAUUGGACAAUUCUAUUAUUAUUUAGAAGAUAUAAUGCUAAUAUGAGUAACAUGAAUAGAUUCUCCUUGCAUAAGCAUAAAUACGAUCGGAACAACCGCUUACACUUAAUCAACUAGAUAACUAUAAUCACAUACAAGUAUUUUAUUACCAAUAUUGUUAACCCAACUCAGGCAUGCAUUAAGGAAAGAUUAAAAGGAAUAAAAGGAACUCGGCAAACAAAACCCCGCCUGUUUACCAAAAACAUCACCUCUAGCAUUCACCAGUAUUAGAGGCACUGCCUGCCCGGUGAGUCACGACUUUAACGGCCGCGGUAUCCUGACCGUGCAAAGGUAGCAUAAUCACUUGUCUCUUAAUUGGAGACUAGUAUGAAUGGCAUAACGAGGGUUU
rnacentral:rRNA from 1 species